CAGCAGCCGCGGUAAUACGUAGGUGGCAAGCGUUGUCCGGAAUUAUUGGGCGUAAAGGGCUCGCAGGCGGUUUCUUAAGUCUGAUGUGAAAGCCCCCGGCUCAACCGGGGAGGGUCAUUGGAAACUGGGAAACUUGAGUGCAGAAGAGGAGAGUGGUAUUCCACGUGUAGCGGUGAAAUGCGUAGAGAUGUGGAGGAACACCAGUGGCGAAGGCGACUCUCUGGUCUGUAACUGACGCUGAGGAGCGAAAGCGUGGGGAGCGAACAGGAUUAGAUACCCGCGUAGUCCCUGUCUCUUAUAC
rnacentral:rRNA from 1 species